UCUUUAAAGCCGGAGGAAGUGGGGAUGACGUCAAGUCAGCAUGGCCUUUAUGUCCUGGGCUACACACACGCUACAAUGGCCAACACAAUAGGUUGCUAAGCCGCGAGGUGGAGCCAAUCCUCAAAGUUGGUCUCAGUUCAGAUUGCAGGCUGCAACCCGCCUGCAUGAAGAUGGAGUUGCUAGUAACCGCAGGUCAGCUAUACUGCGGUGAAUACGUUCCCGGGGCUU
rnacentral:rRNA from 1 species